UAACCCCAGAAGUCACCGACGAUGUCUGAAACGGUCCUGAAACUCAUGAAAUCUCUACUACUUAUUAAAAAACGAGAAGGUGUUCCGUCAUCAGGCAAUAUACGUGGUACGUUUCGUCCAUCGUUCGCUUCGUCGUGCUAUCCUUCGUCCCUCCCGAAAACCACGCAUACCAGCAGAUCCUGCUUCUUCACGCAUACCCGCACAUCGCUCCCCGCACCAUAGCCUCCGGCUCCCUCGUCCGCCACGCCGCCUCCACCACCUCUCUCAUCGCUGUCUACCACAUCUCCCACCGCGCCCGCCAUGGCAACCAUCUGGCCGCUAGCGCCCCUGCCGCCACUGGCCUCCACCGCACGAGCAGCUGCCCACGCGCCAAGGCUCCUCAACCUCGCUUCCACCCUCACUGACGACCCAUCCUGCGACAACGCCGCCUGUCUCCUCCACGACGCGCCACGCUGCCGCCGAUGCAUCGGACGUGGGCGCGUCGUCCUCCACGGGAUCCUCACACACUUCUUCUGAAAGAGGAGAAUGGCAGCGGAGCUGCACACGGACAGUCAGACUCGCCUUCUCACCUCCUCUGUUUGGUCCGUUCGCGUCCUUCCUCCUCCGGCUGUUGGACGACGGGCGAGGAGCAGGGAAUGCUGACAUAUCUGGGACGAGAAACUCACAAGGAUAAUAGGCCAGCUCUAAACGUAUAAUGGUUUGUAGUUGUUCUGACUUCUCUGCAGUGUUUGUGAAAAAAUAAUGAAGACAAUCCUGUCUUAGUUGAUUCAUGGUGACACCUACAUCAGACAUGAUCAAUGAAGAAGUUAAUUAUGUGAUAGCUUACCAUCUGCCAAGCAGCAAUGUAGGAGUACUCAUUUGCAACCAGAUAACCUAGAAGAGGUAGUCCCCAUCGUGGAGCAAAAUGAUAUCAGGGCUCAAGACAAUAUUCAAGAGGUUGUCCCUGUGCAAUCAUGGAAGGUGAAUAGAUAUAGGUGUUUUUGGAAACAAUGUCGCUGCUCCUGGUGUUGGAGGUGCCAGUGAGGCAGUAGACUAAGGAGGGGUGUAAAAGGUGCAAUUAAUCUUAUUAGAAAAAACCUAAGAAAAUUCAUUUCACAGAGGAUCUGAACAAACACACGAAGCAACAAAGCCAGAGGAUUGUUCGGAUGGAGAUACACCAGUGAAUGGCAGAGAUGGAGCAGGCCUCUCCAGCAUUAACAAUGGCGAUAUAAAAGGUCAGCUUGAUGGAAGUCACUCGGAAGAAAUAACGCGAGAAAAUGAUGGCAUGUCACCUCGAAAUGGACCGGGCUAUGUAUGCAGUGGAGAAAGUUCAGAUACUGGGGGUAGUUCGAGCAGAGGGGGUGCACCACAUAAAACUCUGGAUGCCCAAGGCAUCACGGGUGAGUUUUUAUUUUCUUUAUUUGCGCUUUUUCUGUCAGGUGGUCACACAUCAUGUCUCAAUUGCUUGUUAUGUUUGUACAUUCUUUUGCGCCUUAGCCAUGGAAAUAAUUAUAUUGUUGUUGAUUCAGCUAAGACGACUCAUUUGUUAUCUUAGUCACUGCCUCUAUCAACGUCAUCAAUUCAAGCCAUCCCAGUCCGUUCGGUCGAGGUGUCUUAGAAUAUGUAUUUACUGAAGAUUACAUUACAGCACUUAAUUUGCUUAGGUAUUAACAAGCAUUUUCCUUUGCGUGAGAUAUCGAGCAUGGGAAGACUAA